rnacentral:rRNA from 1 species
AACGCGAAGAACCUUACCAACCUUUGACAUGCCCAGUAUGGUCGUCAGAGAUGACUUCCUUCCCGCAAGGGGCCGCUUUAUAGGUGCUGCAUGGCUGUCGUCAGCUCGUGUCGUGAGAUGUUGGGUUAAGUCCCGCAACGAGCGCAACCCUUAUCCCCAGUUGCCAUCAUUUAGUUGGGCACUCUGGUGAAACCGCCUCGGAUAACGGGGAGGAAGGUGGGGAUGACGUCAAGUCCUCAUGGCCUUUAUGUCCAGGGCUACACACGUGCUACAAUGGCCGGUACAAACCGUCGCAAACCCGCGAGGGGGAGCUAAUCGGAAAAAGCCGGCCUCAGUUCGGAUUGCAGUCUGCAACUCGACUGCAUGAAGCUGGAAUCGCUAGUAAUCGCGGAUCAGAACGCCGCGGUGAAUACGUUCCCGGGCCUUGUACACACCGCUAGUC